rnacentral:rRNA from 1 species
UACAGAGGUGUCAAACGUUGUCCGGAAUUACUGGGCGUAAAGCGUGCGCAGGCGGUUUUGUAAGACAGGCGUGAAAUCCCCGGGCUCAACCUGGGAAUUGCAUUUGGGACUGCAAGGCUGGAGUGCGGCAGAGGAGACUGGAAUUCCUGGUGUAGCAGUGAAAUGCGUAGAUAUCAGGAGGAAUACCGAUGGCGAAGGCAGGUCUCUGGGCUGACACUGACGCUCAUGCACGAAAGCGUGGGGAGCAAACAGG